GUACCCUCAAGCUCUGCUUGGUGUUGGGUGUUUGUCUACUAUCGUGGACUCGCCUUAAAGUCAUUGGCAGCCAGUGUUUUGGUAUUGGAGCGCAGCACAUUUUGCGCCUCUAGCCUAGAAUACUAGCGUCCAGUAAGCCUUUUUCCAC
rnacentral:misc_RNA from 1 species